rnacentral:piRNA from 1 species
CAGAUUCUAAAGAUGAUUUUAGUUGAUUGC